GAUGAACGCUGGCGGCGUGCCUAAUACAUGCAAGUCGAGCGAACGGACGAGAAGCUUGCUUUUCUGAUGUUGGCGGCGGACGGGUGAGUAACACGUGGAUACCCUACCUAUAAGACUGGGAUAACUUCGGGAAACCGGAGCUAAUACCGGAUAAUAUUUUGAACCGCAUGGUUCAAAAGUGAAAGACGGUCUUGCUGUCACUUCUAGAUGGAUCCGCGCUGCAUUAGCUAGUUGGUAAGGUAACGGCUUACCAAGGCAACGAUGCAUAGCCGACCUGGGAGGGUGAUCGGCCACACGAGAACGGAGACACGGUCCAGACUCCUACGGGAGGCAGCAGUAGGGAAUCGUCCGCAAUGGGCGAAAGCCGGACGGAGCAACGCCGCGUGAGUGAUGAAGGUCUUCGGAUCGUAAAACUCUGUUAUUAGGGAAGAACAUAUGUGUAAGUAACUGUGCACAUCUUGACGGUACCUAAUCAGAAAGCCACGGCUAACUACGUG
rnacentral:rRNA from 1 species